UACGAGAGGUGCAAGCGUUGUUCGGAAUGACUGGGCGUAAAGAGCACGUAGGCGGGUCUGUAAGUCAGAUGUGAAAGCCCUGGGCUUAACCUAGGAACUGCAUCUGAAACUGUGGAUCUUGAAUGCUUGAGAGGUUGGUGGAAUUCCAGGUGUAGGAGUGAAAUCCGUAGAGAUCUGGAGGAACACCGGAGGCGAAGGCGGCCAACUGGCGAUGCAUUGACGCUGAGGUGCGAAAGCGUGGGUAGCAAACAGG
rnacentral:rRNA from 1 species